CAAAGUUCGUUCGGGUUUUUC
rnacentral:miRNA from 1 species